ACAUGCUCUGCCUCUCUUUGUCUCAAAAAUAAAUAAAACAUUAAAAAACUUAAAAAAAUAGAUGAUGAUGAAUAUGUUGAUUUAAAACCAUAAUUGAUAGAUGAGAAGGCAAAAUGCAGAAUCAGUAUUCAACUCCAAAUCUGCUCCCUCCCUGAUGCCAUGUACCUUCUUUUGUACCAUGCUAUUUCUUCCGUGUUCCAUGUUUCUCCAGAUAAUUUCAAUUUUUAAAUAUCCAGUCAGAUUUUUUCCAGAAUUGUACUCAUACUGGUUUGAAGCUUAACACUUAUUCCAUAAAAAGCAGAAACAGAAAAUUUGUCUUCAUUUUCCUUUAUUUGGGUAGCAUUUAUGUGUUUUUGAAAGUAAGUGAAUUUUAGAUUUUCAUUGUAGCACUUUGGUUUGCAUAUAUGUGUGUUCUUGAAUAGUAGCCAUAUGCUGGUAGUUGAGGACAUUAAGAGACAUUCAUAUAGUGAUUUUUAGUUUACAAACAUUUCAUAUAUAUGAUCUCAUUUGAGCCAAGUAGCAGAUUAUAAGUAAAUAAUUUUUGAUAAAAAUAGUACACAAUGGAAUACAGUUGAUAUUAUUGUAAAUUUUCCUCAGUGCUAUUUCAAACCACUUCUUUCUUCUAACUAGCUCUUAUAAAGAGUAGUUGUAAUAACUUAUUUGUUUACAUAUACUUUUCUCUCUAUAAGACUAUGAACUCUUUGAGGACAAGAGGCCGAUCUUAUUCAUCUCUGUGUCUUAAGUACCUAGUAGAGUCCCUAGCACAAAAUAAACAGUAAAUGUUUCUUGUAUUUAUAUUAAAUGUAACUCUGAAAAGUCAAGUGAUUGGCUCUAAAUCGCAAUAAAUAACUGAUAGCCAAGUAUUCCAGUACAUAUUACUGCUUUCUUCAGAGGCUCCGCUGCCCUUUUUCAAGAAACCAAGCUCUUUUCCUCUGUAACUGAGAAAGGUCUUAUUAGAACUCUUGUACCUGACCCCAUUCUCUAACUGAGAAACGAAGGUUGUUUAGAAUACAUAUGUGCACUACUUAAUCUCCGGCAUUUGUGUUUGCAAGUUAACAUGCUGUCUAUUGUAUUUGAACAGCUGUAACAUAUGUGAUAAGAUUUCUUAAUAAGUCAUUUUCUUGAGCAAUGGAAAUAUGAAUCUGAAGAAUAGUGUUCCCAGUUUGUUAAGUUGUGCCUUUAGACUCUUGGGUUUUAGAUGUAAUCAAUUGCCUAUAAUUCUCUGUUUGAGAAAAGUGGUGAGGAUAGCGUUGUAACCUGUUUUGGAGCUAACAGAGAUUCCAUGUCAUUUUUUGAUGUGUAAAGAAAAGGGAUGUUUGCAACUGUGUUCAAUUGGCUACAUUCUUAUAAAUUUUCCAACGGAAAGAUAAGGCUUAAAAUGAAAAUUUUUGCAUGGUGACAUUCAGCGGCAGCUUGAGUAGAGUGUCCUUUUAUAGUUCCUGUAAUUCAGAAAAUGAUAACAGCUUUCUGCUGCUUAGAAGAGAAGUCUGUGGACUGCUCCCGGUGGGAUUUCAGUUUGUUGUGCCACUUCAUACCAACACCAGCCUGAUAAAGUUCUUAUUAUUGUGGAGAUUUCAAAGUGCAAGAGGACUGAAUUAAUUAUGACAGGUUAGAAAAUACAGGACUGAUACUACAAAUAAAACUUAAAAAAACCAAUACAUGUUCUCCAAGUUUAUGUAACAAAUUAAUUUGGAUAUUUUAAGCUAUUAGUGAUUAUAUAGUUAGACAUUUGCUUAAUAAGUAAAUGCACCUGACUUGUAAAUUGCUGGUGAACCAUGCUAGCUGUUCCAUCUCAAAAUUCAGAAGUUAUCUUUUAUUUGUGUAUCAUUUUCUCAUUUGAAACCAUUACUUCAACAUCUUGCUGUUUAAAGGCAAAUAGCUGUAUUUGAACACUUUCUUAGGGUUAUUUUAAUUUCUUUUCAGUAUUCUCAGCAGUGGAAUAAUUAAAAAUGAAUGUUUUAUAAAUACCAGCUUAUAUAAAGUGCUUCAAAUUCAUAAGAAAACACUGAUAGUAGAGCAUUGUGGUAUGGGAGAAGGAUGGGCAGUUCAAGAAAUAACUGGAGAAAAUAGAAUCUUAUCUGGAGAAAGCAUAGGUAUCCUAAGAAGCCAUCUUUUUCCCCUACACUCCAGAAGCUAGGAGAGUUAGUAGUCUUAAUUCUGGAAGAACUCCUGUAACAGUGGGUAAGUAUGAAGAACCGUGAGAGCUGGAAACCACCAUCUGUGUAGUUGAUACUACUGAAAAGAGGCAAAAACAAACAAAAAACACCAAGAAGAAGCAAGAACAGUAACCCAAAUUAAACCAUGCAAAUCUGAAGGAAAGUAUGAAGUACUUAAAUAUCUUACCCCUAAAAUUUAAAUGUAAUUUCACAGUUAAACAGGAAGCAAGCAGAAUGAGCUGAAUAGAGAGGUAACUGGAGAAUCUGAAGACAUGAAAAAGAACAGAUGUAUUCCCUGAUUUGUAAAAUGCUAGUGAAUCAUUCUAGGUGAACAAGCAUAUGGAUAACACAUGAAUGAGGACUCAGAAGAGAAAUUUGACCUAAAUCAUCUCAUUGGUUAUCUUGGAUUAGUUGUGCAAUUGAAAAGCUGCAGAUCUGAUUUGUGUUACUUGUUUCUAACCUUUCAGUCUCAUUUAGAGCAGAUGUAAACUCAUCUGUCAUAAAAUUCAAAUAUUUGUAAUUCAGACAAAAAAGGGUAACCUUCAGACUAGUGACAAAUAAAUAUGACAUUUUCAAAUGAUAUUUAAUAGACCUUUAUUAACAGUGUGUUACCCCAUGGUGUUCAUUGCAUUUCUUACUUCCGCAGUUAUCUUAAUCAUCUGCUUCAGUAAAUUAAGUAAAAGAAGAGA